UACAGAGGUCCCAAGCGUUGUUCGGAUUCACUGGGCGUAAAGGGUGCGUAGGUGGUGAGGUAAGUCGGGUGUGAAAUCUCCGAGCUCAACUCGGAAAUGGCAUUGGAAACUACCCUGCUGGAGGUUUGGAGGGGGGACUGGAAUACUUGGUGUAGCAGUGAAAUGCGUAGAUAUCAAGUGGAACACCAGUGGCGAAGGCGAGUCCCUGGACAAAACCUGACACUGAGGCACGAAAGCUAGGGGAGCAAACAGG
rnacentral:rRNA from 1 species